CCGCCCCGCGCCACCCCCGCCGCCGGCCGCCCCGCCCCCACUGCCCCCGUACCUGCACCCACAUCUCCUCUCUGCUCUCCCGCGCCCUAGGGUUAGCCACCGCCGCCCUUAAUCCGGCGAGCUCCGGUGACCAUGGUCGGCGUGCAGCAUGCUACCGAGCUCACCACGCUCCGUUGCGUCGAUUCCUCCGGCCAGAUUCGUCCCUCCCCCCUCGAACGCUGGCGCCCAACCCAUCCCUCCGCGACUAGGGUUUGGUGCGCGGCCUCGUCUCUGCCACCGGCGUGCCUCUGGCGGUCCUCUACGCCUCAUCGCAUGGCUCCUCACGCGGCUGCGCCUGCUGGACGCUGCUUCUCCACCAAAAGGCAGUGGCAGAGGAGGGCCUUAUCCACCACCACGCAACGGCAGCCAAGAGAAAAGUAGUAGAAGGGGAUGAGGAAGGAGGAGAAAGACCAGAAGAAGGGCAAGGGAGGUGGGGCGAUCUGCAUGUCCAUGGAGCAGUAGGACGACGACGAGAGGACGAGUACCUCGACGGCGACGACAACUAGGAGGAUGAACCCACCCACAAGGGUGCCGAUGCUGGCCAUCAGAACGACGACUCUUCGUCCUGCACCACCUCACGCUGUGGCGGCUACAUGUUUGGUUCACUUCAUGGAAGGGCAGAAUGCUACUAUUUAGACGUUAGAUGUUUGAUGCAUUGGAUGUUUGUGAAACUAUGUAUAUAUGAAUUGGAUGUAUGAUGUUUGAUGUUUCAUGACGAUGGUGAAAUUAUGUUUGAUGUAUGAUGUUUGAAACUAUGUGAUUCUGAAUAUAUAUGAAAAUGGUCGUGUA